rnacentral:rRNA from 1 species
CCUACGGGUGGCAGCAGUGAGGAAUAUUGGUCAAUGGGCGUAAGCCUGAACCAGCCAAGUCGCGUGAGGGAUGAAGGUUCUAUGGAUCGUAAACCUCUUUUAUAAGGGAGUAGAGUGUGGGGCGUGUCCUAUUUUGUAUGUACCUUAUGAAUAAGGAUCGGCUAACUCCAUGCCAGCAGCCGCGGUAAUACGGAGGAUCCGCGCGUUAUCCGGAUUUAUUGGGUUUAAAGGGUGCGUAGGCGGCCUUUUAAGUCAGCGGUGAAAGUGUGUGGCUCAACCAUAGAAUUGCCGUUGAAACUGGGGGGCUUGAGUAUGUUUGAGGCAGGCGGAAUGUGUGGUGUAGCGGUGAAAUGCUUAGAUAUCACGCAGAACCCCGAUUGCGAAGGCAGCCUGCCAAGCCAUGACUGACGCUGAUGCACGAAAGCGUGGGGAUCAAACAGGAUUAGAUACCCCUGUAGUC